CAUUACCUCUCUCAGCGUUCAAGUCAAAGGAAUCGUCUGCUUGUGGAUUAUUCUAUCCUCGACAGCUCAGCUGACCAAUGAUUUCAACAGAUGUGGAGUUUGGAGCAUCAACCAACACGAUGAGUCUUGAUCUGGACAUUCACCAAUGGAACAUUUGGAUUAUCAGUGGAAUAUUAUGCACAUCAUCUGGGAGUGUAAUGAUUUAAAGACUUUUUUUAUCUGUCACCGCAAGGACCUCAAGGCUGCACCAGUCAAAACAACUGUAACAGGUGCAAGCUGUGCUUCAUUCAAGUCCAUUGGGCAGUCAGGGAUGAGUCAAGAUCACUUCUGACAAACAUAAGGACUUUUCUAUUUGAUUGCCUGUUUUAUGCUUUAAAAAAAACCCUGGGUGAAAACAAAAAUCCUGAUUACAGAAGUAUGGGAAAGAAGUGGGGAUAUAGCUGGAAGCAACUGGACAACAUUGGGGGGAUGUUUUGUAAAGAAACCAAAAGACAACAACCAAAAAGUGUCAAAAGGUGUUUGGAAAAUAAAAACAGACUCCACCUGCUUAUUCUACACUUGAAAAGACUGCGUGCAUCACAGCUACAGUACUGCUUCUUAACAAAAGCUCUGCUGUCUGGCUCUUAGCUUACACUUCAGAAAGAGAGGCAUCCGUUACAACUGGGCAGCAAGAUAUUAGGAUUUCUGUAGCACCAAAGGCCCUGUGAGCAAAAGCAACGAACAAUACAUUACUUUUAGAAAAAAGAAAACUCUAGAAUUUCUUGCUGACAGGACCUCAUGAGGAAAUAGCACGUUUACAGCUGUCACUUGAUCCUUUAACCAUACUUCUGCCAAGUAAAAUCCUGACCUGGUGUUGGUCAACACUGGGAAUUGCAG
rnacentral:lncRNA from 12 species